rnacentral:piRNA from 1 species
UAGAGUGAGGAUGCUGCUGGAAUACAUC